UGAUAUUCUGUCAGUGCUGGCAGCUGAUU
rnacentral:piRNA from 1 species